rnacentral:rRNA from 1 species
CACGUAGGGGGCAAGCGUUGUCCGGAUUUAUUGGGCGUAAGAGCUCGUAGGUGGUUCGAUAAGUCGGGUGUGAAACCUCCAGGCUCAACCUGGAGACGCCACCCGAUACUGUCGUGACUAGAGUCCAGUAGGGGAGCGUGGAAUUCCUGGUGUAGCGGUGAAAUGCGCAGAUAUCAGGAGGAACACCAGCGGCGAAGGCGGCGCUCUGGGCUGGCACUGACACUGAGGAGCGAAAGCGUGGGGAGCGAACAGG